rfam:Triticum aestivum genome assembly, contig: Triticum_aestivum_CS42_TGACv1_scaffold_425898_5BS
UAGGUAAAUCUAUGGUCCCAAAAUUCUUGUCUUACAUUUGUUUAGAUACGGAUGUAUCUAACACUAAAAUGUAACUAGAUACAUCCGUAUUUAGACAAAUUUAAGACAAGAAUUUUGGGACGGAGGGAGUAAAAA